AUAUAGCAUGUAUAUAAUUGAGAGAUUUAUGUAUUUUGGUGAGGUUGCUAGAGAGAUCAUGUAUUAUGAGAUGUUAUGUAUCUAUUUGAUGCAAGAUGUAAUCAAUGAUGUAUAGCUUGAUGGGAAAUAUGUAUUAAAUGAUUGAAUGCAAUGUAAUAGUUAGACUCUCUCUCUUGCUCGCUUGUAUUUUAAUACUCGCUUGAUCAUGUAUGUUGUUGAUGUUAUUCCUGGGUA
rnacentral:lncRNA from 1 species